GCGUCGGUGGUUCAGUGGUAGAAUACUCGCCUGCCACGCGGGUGGUUCGGGUUCGAUUCCCGGCCGACGCA
rnacentral:tRNA from 1 species